rnacentral:rRNA from 1 species
AUUGAACGCUGGCGGCAGGCCUAACACAUGCAAGUCGAGCGAGCGGCGGACGGGUGAGUAAUGUAUGGGGACUGCCCGAUAGAGGGGGAUAAAUACUGGAAACGGUGGCUAAUACCGCAUACUAUCGGAUAACCCAUAUGGGAUUAGCUAGUAGGUGGGGUAAAGGCUCACCUAGGCGACGAUCUCUAGCGGGGCUGCGAGGAUGAUCAGCCAAACGGGGACUGAGACACGGCCCAGACUCCGACGGAGGCAGCAGUGGGGAAUAUUGCACAAUGGGCGAAAGCCUGAUGCAGCAAUGCCGCGUGUAUGAAGAAGGCCUUAGGGUUGUAAAGUACUUUCGGCGGGGAGGCGUUACCCGCAGAGGAAGCACCGGCUAACUCCGUGCCAGCAGCCGCGGUAAUAC